rnacentral:rRNA from 1 species
AACGAACGCUGGCGGCAGGCUUAACACAUGCAAGUCGAACGCCCCGCAAGGGGAGUGGCAGACGGGUGAGUAACGCGUGGGAACAUACCCUUUUCUACGGAAUAGCUCUGGGAAACUGGAAUUAAUACCGUAUACGCCCUACGGGGGAAAGAUUUAUCGGGGAAGGAUUGGCCCGCGUGGGAUUAGCUAGUUGGUGGGGUAAAGGCCUACCAAGGCGACGAUCCAUAGCUGGUCUGAGAGGAUGAUCAGCCACAUUGGGACUGAGACACGGCCCAAACUCCUACGGGAGGCAGCAGUGGGGAAUAUUGGACAAUGGGCGCAAGCCUGAUCCAGCCAUGCCGCGUGAGUGAUGAAGGCCUUAGGGUUGUAAAGCUCUUUCACCGAUGAAGAUAAUGACGGUAGUCGGAGAAGAAGCCCCGGCUAACUUCGUG